rnacentral:rRNA from 1 species
GGGGACCAUCCUCCAAGGCUAAAUACUCCUGACUGACCGAUAGUGAACCAGUACCGUGAGGGAAAGGCGAAAAGAACCCCGGCGAGGGGAGUGAAAAAGAACCUGAAACCGUGUACGUACAAGCAGUGGGAGCACGCUUAGGCGUGUGACUGCGUACCUUUUGUAUAAUGGGUCAGCGACUUAUAUUCUGUAGCAAGGUUAACCGAAUAGGGGAGCCGAAGGGAAACCGAGUCUUAACUGGGCGUUAAGUUGCAGGGUAUAGACCCGAAACCCGGUGAUCUAGCCAUGGGCAGGUUGAAGGUUGGGUAACACUAACUGGAGGACCGAACCGACUAAUGUUGAAAAAUUAGCGGAUGACUUGUGGCUGGGGGUGAAAGGCCAAUCAAACCGGGAGAUAGCUGGUUCUCCCCGAAAGCUAUUUAGGUAGCGCCUCGUGAAUUCAUCUCCGGGGGUAGAGCACUGUUUCGGCA